GUUAAGUUAACAUUUUAUAGCUAUUAUGAAUACAUACUUGCUUUUAUAAUGUUUUUAAGCACGUUUUCUCACUUUGUAACAGCUUAUGUAAGACACACAAGAACCGAAGCGAUCACGUAUUUAGAGCUUAGAGAGGAAACAUAGCAAAGUAUGCGACAGAUGCCAUCACUACUGACUGAGCUCCAAUUAAGCAAUGCAAUAAUAUUAUAGUGGAUAAAAAACAGAUAUAUACUCAUGUUUAUGUGCUAUUGCAGAAAAAAAACAACUUAAAAUCCCCUAAAAGUUUAAUUGUAGGCUAUUACUUUAACCUUUUACUGAAUACCUCAUGCACACUGUACUGUAAGUUCCUAAAUAACUAUUAUAGCCACUUAUUUGGGCUAUAAUACAGUGUUUGUGCCUCUAAAUCAGAUAAAACAGUAGCUCAGUCUGAGAAAAGGGAAUAGAGUAUUUAUAGUUUGAGGUAUGGGGGUAGACGUUCUGUCUAAAUUCUUAUAUAUCUAUUUUUCCUACUGUAUAUCUAUGUUCUUAUUCUUUAGUAAUGCUCAUGAAGUAGGCCAGGAUAUAGGGAAGCCUAGACUCGCAGUGAUGUAAUGCAUUGCUCAUUAUUUCUUUGUGUUGAGUCAAAUCUAAUUUAAUAAAUGGUUAAAAGUAAACAUCCAGUCCUCCACUGAGUUCAGGUGGAUGAUUUAAGAGCCACUUUGGUUCCUGAAUCUUCACUGCUGCAACUUUAUCAUGAACUUAUUUGAUGAUUUCAACACACAGGACAUGUUAGUGCGUGUUUUAAUGUAGUGAUGCGCCACAGAUACACUUUAAGUCCUUAAGAGCAGGAAAUAAAGCGCCUUAAAGUCAGUGUAAAUCACAGCUGAGCAUGAUGCCUGUUUUUAUGUCUUGUCUUGGUCUGACACCAGGUGAGUUGUUUUGGUACUGCACACAUUCAGACUGUGGUUUCCUCAGCAGAUGGCGGUCUCUGUCCUGGUUGGAAAUCAUUUUGGAUCACAGCAACACACCGAUAAACCAAUAAUAGAUGACAAAAAUAAUCUCAACCCCUAAAAAACAUGCAGUUAUAAUUCAGUUUCUGGGAGCUGUGUGCACACCGUGCAGAGGAGUAAAUCUGGAUUUUAUUUUAAUUAUAUGCUACGUUUAAAUUAAAGGAUGCACGCUGAUUUUCAAUAAGAACCAUGUCUUAAACAAUUCAUAAAUUGUGUCUCAGUCUGGCCAAAUUCCUUUUAUGUGCCCAAUAAAACAGAUUCUGACUUGAAGGCUUUAAUAUGUCCUCCUGCUGUAUUAGACCUGAGUCAGACAGCAUUUUAAUGUUUAUUUCGACCUCUUUCGCGGCCUGGGUGGGUGGAGUUUGACACCCAGAAUAAAAUAAAGAGCUAAAAAAGAGAUUACUCACUGGAAAGUAUUUUGUAAGUUGUUUUACUUUUCUGUGGCUCCAAACUUUUAUCUGACUUUAUCUGAAUCUCUGUAAACUCCACCCACCUGGAGCUCCAAGGAGGAUAAACCAAACAGAUUCGUGCUGACUAAUAAUGCCUCACUUGGAACAUGAAACAUUCAUAAAUUUGGACUAAAUUCACUGGAAGAAACCCAAACUCUGCAGCUCAUAUUUCCAUGUAAUCAGGUCUAACUAUAAAGGGGAAUUCCCACAAAAUUUUCUUGUAGGUUUUAUUUUACAGGAAUCCACGUUUUCAUUAAAAAUCCCUUUUUUUGCAGUUGCUGAAUGAGUCCUGAGCUUCAAAUGCAACCUAACCUAGAUUAUCAGACGGGCUGUUGCUACACCAUAUGGCCAAAAGUAUGUGGACACCACUGUUUGGGGCUGUUUUUUUUGUUUUAAGCUUUUAGUUCCAGUGAAGGGAACUGUUGAUGCUACAGCGUGCAAUGCUAUUUUAGACAUCAGUAGGCUUCCAACUUCCUGUUUCAACAUGACAACGACCCCGUUACCACAAAGCCAGCUCCAUAAAGAAAUGUUUUUCCCAGUUUGCUGUGGAGGAACUUGACCUCAACCCCAUCCAGCACCUUUGGGAUGAACUGGAUCGCAGACUGGGAGCCAGACCUGAUCGCCCAACAUCAGCGUUGGACCUCACUGAGGCCCUUGUGGCUGAAUGGGGGCAAAUUUUGGUCAAAAACUUGGGUUUUCUGUGACAAACAAUCAAAUCAAGUUUUCAGUCUUGUCGACCAAAGCUGCAUGUGGAUGGGAUCAUAUUGAUUUCUACUUGACCCCGAUGGCCGGUGUCUGUCUUGAGGAAAACUGGUGUGAAAACUGCCGCUUUUUCAAACUAACAGCAGCUCUCAAAGUUUGAUUAUGCUCAGAAAUCCCCCUUGAGCAGCUGCAUUUAGACUGCAUGCAGCAGUAAACCAGAAUACAAAGGAAGGAAGGGAGACAAACAAGGCGAUCCCUAACGAAGCUGCAGGGAGGAGAGGCGAUAAU